AUGCGUUAGGGAUUGCAGUGCUUAGCUUUUGGCGAGGCGAGCAUCGAGCCAAAACUAGUAGCGAAAAGCCCGACCAUUG
rnacentral:misc_RNA from 1 species